rnacentral:lncRNA from 1 species
ACUGAUAUCCUCAGGUAGGCCUCGCAGCCGGUUGCUGGAGACGUCGAGCUCCUCCAGGGCAGCCAGCUGCAGCAGCUGCUGGGGAAAGGCGGUGAGCUGGUUGUGGUCCACGUCAAGGGUCCGAAGGUGGUUGAGGCAGGAGAAGGAAUCUGGCAGAUGCGCCAGCCGGUUGAAGCUGACAUCCAGCUCCUCCAGAUAAUCGAUCAUUUUGUUUAUCUGCUUAAGAGAGCUGAGUAGUGCCUGGGACCUGUCAGCUUUUAGGCAUGCCCCUUAUCACCCCGGCUAUAAAGGAGAUCUUUGACUCGCACCCAAGCUGAAGUUUCACUGCCACCCAUGUGACCUUGUACCUCUCCGAGAUCUCCACCCUUAUCAUAUCAUCAGCCUUACCCUCUCAAAGGGCACUUCACCAUUUCCUCUCCUGUGAAUAUGCAUUGAGAUGGGAAACUUCCUUUGGAUGCUGGCUUCUUCUCGGGUCUCUCAGUAGUUCCAGAAAACACUGUGUCCCAGAAAAGCCAUUCCUUCGCUUGGUUCAACUGCUUUGGACUCUGAAAAUAGCUCUGAUUUCAUUCACUCAGCUGCUCUGGAGUUCAGAAGUGAAGACACUCGUGGCUGGAAGUUUUAACUAACUCUGGAGUAUAGAAAGGACCUGUCUGGUCCUAAAACAAAAUUUGCUGAUCAGGAAACCCUACAGAGCUAAGGGCAAUCAGGGCCAGGUUACUACAUCUUAGGAGAAGGUGAAUUGAACCCUCAAAGUCUGGAAAGGUUGAGUACCGCAUCUAUUUGGAACAAGCUCAGAACCUUUUAGAACCUUUACCUCUUCCUUUCUCAAAUGGCCUCUAUUUCUGAAAAGCCAAAUUAAAAAGGAGACGGGCUAUUCAAAACCUUGGAGGUGAGAUCAUCUGUGCUAUCUUUAGCUGAAUAGGGAGGAGAAGUAUUGCAAAGUGUUGGCUAGGUCUAAAAUUACAAGAGAGGAGAAGUCUGGGGGCCCACCCUGGCAUCCAUGGUGAAGGCUGAAGUGUUCAACGUGCAACUACUUAAGAAGAAACUUCCACUAUUGCCCUCUUUCUAUAGCCAGAAAUAAAGGCAGCAUGGUAGUCAUGUUACCCAGGCCACUGAUAUCGAGUCCCAGUGACUGCAGUGUCUGAGAGUCACCUCGGCCAGUCACAGUAGCUGACAUGUAUAAAGAAUUUCCAUGUCUGCAAGGCAUGGUGCUGUAGCUUUUUAUCUAAUACUCACAAGUUUCCUGAGUUGGGGGCUCUAAUGCUACCCCAGAAUUGAAAUCCAAGAGACAAUAGUAGUAAGAUGUAAAAGCAAAGCAUGGCAGAAGGCAACGCUCAGACAGCUGGUCCCUGAGCUUGAAGAUUUGUGGAAGGUACAUGUGACCAGUCUUGGCUCUCUGGGUAUUUUAAGCCAAAGAGUAGUAAGGCCAGGUACAGAGGAGAACUGGCAUUGGCUUCAGGGGACAUUGUACUGGGCUCUUAUAGAUACAUUCAAAGAAUGUCACGCUGGGCAGGCACAAACCUCUUAAACCAACAGUCUUCCCAAACCGUGGCUCAGAGCUUGACAUCGGGACCACAAGCUCGCUGCGAGCUGUUAUUUCAUUUGCUUUACAUGGCUGGUAUUUAAAAUCAGUGUCUAUGCAACCUGCACCUCAAUUAAAAGGCAGUUCAUAAUCUAUAUUUUGAUAAGGAUUUUUUAAAGACUCAUUUGUCAAGCUGAGAUUAAAGGCAAAGAUCAGACAUCA